UACGGGGGGGAGCAAGCGUUGUUCGGAUUUACUGGGCGUAAAGGGCGCGUAGGCGGUCAGCACAAGUCAGUUGUGAAAUCUCCGGGCUUAACUCGGAAAGGUCAACUGAUACUGUGCGACUAGAGUGCAGAAGGGGCAACUGGAAUUCUCGGUGUAGCGGUGAAAAUGCGUAGAUAUCAAGCGGAACACCAGUGGCGAAGGCGAGUCCCUGGACAACUCCUGACACUGAGGCACGAAAGCUAGGGGAGCAAACAGG
rnacentral:rRNA from 1 species